rnacentral:antisense_RNA from 1 species
GGGGGAGAAUGGGCAUCCCACCCCAGCACUUUCUAGGAAGGAGGGCAGCAUUUUGAAGGGCUGGAAGUAGAGGAAGGAGGUUGCGGGUAGAAGACUCCAUACUUUCUGUGAUGCCUAUUCCUUAGCUUGAGAUGAAUGUUUUCUCAGUAUCCUAUGCUGAAAACAGGUAGAUACUAAUAUCGAUCUUCAAGGGAGGGCUGUUGAGUUUUGAAUAAGACAAAAACAUGGAAGCAAUCAGCACCAUGCUGGAAUCAAGGCUAUCUGUAAUCACAGGGCUAUUUGAAAAAGAGAAGAAAAGGUGUCUUGAAAUUCAACCAACAUGUUUCAAUUAUUUGCUCCUAAGAACAACAGAAGUUUCAACAUUCUGCCAACAAAGUAACUCCUGGAAGAUUGGCACAGAAGAAGGCACAAGGAGAGCCUUUAUAUAACCAAAGAUAUUUUUGGACCAUGAAUUCGGAAAUUCUCGGAGCCACCCAUCAGUGCCUGAGCUUCAGUGAGUCCAUAUCCCAUGUCACCCACGGCAAAGGAGAAUCUAAGACUUCUGAAGAGUUUCUUGCUUCUUUCCUGUGGGGCAGUGACUCCACUUCCCAGCAGUAAUGGAAUAUCCUGAAUUAGCUACAUUAAUGUUAGAACCAUUUGGACCUCACCCAGGACUUCAACUACAUUAUGGUUCUAGUAUGUUAGGUUUAUGUUCCCCUGCUUUCUACAAUCCUGUUCAAAGAGUUGCUGACUUAACCACAGAGAGGAUUCCAGAACAUGAGACACAGAAUAAACUUGAGCAAUCAUAGUCCAUCCACUUCAUUUUCUCAUCAAAAACCAAAGGUCCAGUGAAGCUCUGGAACUCAACGCUGUAAAGGAGCGAAGGAGCUUCUAUACAGAGCCUGGAUGCCUGUCUCCUUAUCCUACUUCAGUGGACUUGACUGCAAUCCGGACUAUGCUGUUUUCUAAGCAUUUAAAAUAAAAUAAAAAGUGUAAUAGUGUGAUAAGUUCUUUCACAAAGCAAGUGAUCACAUUUAUGUUUCUACUUACAUUUGGGUUUUCCAAAUAUGUGUGUGUGUGUGUGUGUGUGUGUGUGUGUAUGUGUGUAUGUAGACUUUAAACAUGGUGCAUCCAUCAUGUUGCAAUAAAUCAAAACCACCAAAUAAUGACGUAGAACUAAUAAAUCAAAACCAUCAAAUAAUGACAUAGAAAUCCAAUUCUCCCACCUUACACCCAUUAAGAUGGCUACU